rnacentral:lncRNA from 1 species
UGUGGAGAACCAAAGUGGUCGCAAAAUAAAGAAACUGAGAAGCGAUCGAGGUACCGAAUACAACUCAAAAGAGUUCGACAAGUUCUGUGAAGAUGAAGGUGUGGAGCAUCAACUAACGGUGGCCUACACUCCACAACAAACGGCGUGUCGGAAGAAAGAAUCGAACAGUCAUGGAGAUGGCGAGAUCCAUGCUGGCGGAGAAGGAUUGCCAAAGAGUUUGGGCAGAGGCAGUGUAUACAUCAGUCUACCUACUCAACCGAUGUCCAACAAAGGCCGUGCUAAACAAGACGCCGAUCGAAGCUUGGUCAGGACAAAAGCCUUCAGCCAAACAUUUGAGGGUCUUAGGAAGUAUCUGCUACAUCCACAUUCCCUCAGUAAAAAGACACAAACUGGAGGACAAGACGGAGAAGGGAAUCUUCCUCGGCUACAGCUCUAAAUCCAAGGGUUAUAGAAUCUACAAUCUUGAGACCAAGAAGCUGGUGACAAGUCGAGACGUGGAAUUUGACGAACAAGCCUCCUGGAAUUGGGAGACAGAAAGUGUUGAAAGGCGGACAACAACUACACUCCUAAAAGAAGUCACAGAACAUGGAGAACAAGAUCAACAAAGCCCACCAAGGUCCUCUUCAGAAGCCAAUACCUCAAGUGGAUCCGACUCAGACUCUUCACCAGACUUUCCACCUUUUCGGGUAAGAACNUCAUGCAAAAAUUACAUUUUUUUCAAAAUUCGUGUAUUUUUUUUUCAUAAGGCCCAUAACCCCUCAAAGAACUGCAAAACACCGACCAAAGCAGGGCGAAGUCCGAUAUAGUAUAAUAAAGAGAGAGAGCCCACAGCGGCAGCCCACAAGAACCCCAUCUCAAGAGAAUCCUGGAAGAAGCCCAUCAUUGAGGCCCAGCAACGCAGCCCAAAUAUUGGAAGAAUCCUGGAGAAAUGCCUCAUUGUGCUCGAUGAUGUGUGGGAGAGACAGAUAUUGGAUUCCUUGUUAAGUUCCUUACGAAACAUCGACAAUAUAUCAAUUCAUAUCUUGGUUACUACUCGAGACCGGAGCAUAACUUAUCCUAGUUAUACAACAUUGGUGCGGUUUAUGAAUGAAGAAGAAAGUAAGGAACUACUAUGCGAGAAGGUGUUCGGUGAAAAUGGUUGCCCUUUUCAACUUGAUAAAGCCGCUAUCAAAAUUGCCAAGAACUGUGAAGGUCUUCCUCUCAUGAUAGUCACAGUGGCUGACAUCAUAUCAAAAGCACAGAACAAUACAGACCCCAAAUACUGGGACGAUGUAGCAGAAAUGCGGAAUUCAGUUUUCACUGAUGCAUAUAAUGAGAUAUCAAAGGUACUUUUCCCAAGUUACGACUACUUACCUCAAUAUCUUAAAAUGCCUUUUCUGUAUCUGGGAGUUUUCCCUCCAGAUUAUGAUAUCCCCAUAUACAAGCUCGUGAAUAUGUUGGCUAUUGGGGGUUGGUUCUAUAACGACUGCUUUCAUAAAAAAAACAAGAAAAAAUCUUUGGAGGAUUCUGUGUGGCGUUGUUUGGAUGAGCUUUGUACAAGAAGGCAUCUUGCUUUAUCCAAUAAAAGGAUACAUGAUAGGAAGUUUAAAACUUGUCGCCUUCAUUCUUCGUGGCGGCACGUAUGUAGAGUAGAGGCUCGGAAGAACAAGUUUUAUGAUGUCUUAAAAAAGCUAGUUGAUGGCUUAGAAGAGGGUGUAAAAGGUCAGCUUUGCUUGUGUCUUGAAAAUAACCUUUUAUUUGGUAUCAAAGACUUUUGCAACUCCGUGAGAUUGAGCUGUGCAUCCUCUACACGAACUCCCUAAAACCAUAUCCAAACUUUUCAUUCUUCAAAUCUUGAUUAUUAUUGAAGUGUGAUGCAUUUAUCUAGAAUAUUCUAGGUGAGAAUAAGCUAUGAAUAUUCUAGAGAAUUCACCACUAGCUAGAUUAAUCUAGAGUAUUCUAAAUAAUACUAGGACAAGUAUGGUAUUCUAGAGAAUAGAUAUUUUCCAUAUAGUAUCUAGAGAAUUCCUUAAGUAGAUGUUAGUAGAAAAUUCUAGAUACAAGCUAAAUGUAGUGGGAUCUAGAGAGAUCUUCCCACACCUAUAAAUAGAGCUCUUGUGAGCCAUUUGUAACCAAUCUCAAACAAUCUCAAACAUCACUCUAUCUAAUAUUAUCUAAGUUCUUUGGAGACAAGAGCUCCACUCUAAAAUCAUUCUCUCUAUNUAUUGGAGUGUUCGUAUGAAGACUUGCCUUGAAUCCCAUGAUCUUUGGGAUGUCAUUGAAGAAGGAAUCACCAUGCCGGGAGAAGAUAUCGACAAGACAUGCUCAUCCGAGGUACGUAAGAAAAUUAAAAGACAACAAAAUAGCUAAAGCUCUUUAUCUUCUCCAACAAUCUGUUAGUGAUUCUAUCAUGGCAAGAAUUAUUCGAGCCACUACUGCAAAAGUAAGCUUGGGAUAUCCUUAAGGAGGAGUUCCAAGGAAAUGUUAAAGUUCGAACCAUUAAAACUGCAAAGUUUAAGGCGAGAACUAGAGAAUCUUAAAAUGAAAGAUUCAGAAGCCGCAAAAGAUUAUUUCUCAAGAAUAAUGGAAAUAAUCAAUCAAAUGCGGUCAUACGGAGAUAACGUCUCCGAUGAAAGGAUCGUACAGAAGGUCUUAAUCAGCCUUACCGAGAAGUAUGAUCCAGUAGUGGCGGCGAUUGAAGUAUCAAAAGAUUUAUCAAAAAUGUCUGUCGCGGAGCUGAUGGGUUCCUUGGAAGCACACGAGCAACGAUUGAGUAGGCGACAUGAAAGUUCACUUGAGAGUGCCUUUCAGUCCAAGCUCAACGUUAGAGGCAAUAAGUCAAGGAGCGGCGGAAAUUUUAAAAGCAAUCACAAGGAAGGAAGCUCCAGCAACAAGGAGAGCAAGGCAAAUUUUCCACCAUGUGGAAUUUGCAAGAAGACAAAUCACUUAGAGAAGGACUGCUAUCAUCGAGGAAAGCCACAGUGCAAAAACUGCAAAAGGUUCGGGCAUGUGGAAAAGAUUGCAGAGAUAGAAGAAAUCAUCAAGCCAACUAUUCAGAAAAUCAAAAUGAGAAGGAGUACAUGUUCUAUGCAUGUCACUCGGCAACAGAAGCACGAGAAGAAGAAUGGUACAUUGAUAGCGGAUGCAGCAACCACAUGACAUCCAACGAGACCAUAUUCCGUGAGUUAGAUACUUCAGUCAAGACGAAGGUGAAGAUGGGCAAUGGAGAACUGGUGGAGACGAAAGGGAAAGGUACAAUUGCCAUAGAAACUAAUAAAGGUACGCGAUUUAUUAGAAAUGUUCUCCUAGUACCUCGUCUUGCACAAAGUCUAUUAAGUGUUGGCCAAAUGAUGGAAAGUGGAUAUGCCCUCCACUUUGAGAAAGAUUCUUGUCAAAUUUACGACAAGAAAAAUAACCAAGAUAUUGCAGUAGUAAAAAUGGGAAAAAAUAGAAACUUUCCCAUUCAAUGGCAAUAUCCACAAAAGGCAAUGGUGGCUCAACUCGACGAUACGAGUCUAUGGCACCGGAGAUUUGGGCAUUUCAACCUAAAUGCCUUGAGGCUACUUCAUCAGAAAAAUAUGAUGAGAGAUAUGCCUCUUCUAAAUGAAAGAGAAGGUGUAUGCGAAGGAUGCAUGAUCGGAAAGCAACACAGACAACCAUUUCCAACGGAGAAAACAUGGCGAGCCAAGGAGAUACUAGAGCUUGUCCACACCGACGUUUGCGGACCAAUGCGCACACCUUCAGUAAACCAAAACAGGUACUUCAUACUCUUUAUUGAUGACUACUCUAGAAUGACUUGGGUAUAUUUUCUCCAAGAAAAAUCAGAAGUCUUUAGAAUCUUCAAGAGAUUCAAGAACUUUGUGGAGAACCAAAGUGGUCGCAAAAUAAAGAAACUGAGAAGCGAUCGAGGUACCGAAUACAACUCAAAAGAAGUUCGACAAGUUCUGUGAAGAUGAAGGUGUGGAGCAUCAACUAACGGUGGCCUACACUCCACAACAAAACGGCGUGUCGGAAAGAAAGAAUCGAACAGUCAUGGAGAUGGCGAGAUCCAUGCUGGCGGAGAAAGGAUUGCCAAAGAAGUUUUGGGCGGAGGCAGUAUAUACAUCGGUCUACCUACUCAACCGAUGUCCAACAAAGGCCGUGCUAAACAAGACGCCGAUCGAAGCUUGGUCAGGGCAAAAGCCUUCAGCCAAACAUUUGAGGGUCUUUGGAAGUAUCUGCUACAUCCACAUUCCCUCAGUAAAAAGACACAAACUGGAGGACAAGACGGAGAAGGGAAUCUUCCUCGGCUACAGCUCUAAAUCCAAGGGUUAUAGAAUCUACAAUCUUGAGACCAAGAAGCUGGUGACAAGUCGAGACGUGGAAUUUGACGAACAAGCCUCCUGGAAUUGGGAGACAGAAAGUGUUGAAAGGCAGACAACAACUACACUCCUAAAAGAAGUCACAGAACAUGGAGAACAAGAUCAACAAAGCCCACCAAGGUCCUCUUCAGAAGCCAAUACCUCAAGUGGAUCCGACUCAGACUCCUCACCAGACUUUCCACCUUUUCGGGUAAGAACUCUAGAAGAUUUAUAUGAAUCCACUGAUUUAUAUGAGAUAUGCAACUUUUGUUCUUUGGAGCCAAGUAACUAUGCAGAAGCAUCCAAAGAGAAAGUUUGGAUUAAAGCAAUGGAGGAGGAGAUACAAAUGAUAGAAAAGAAUGAUACUUGGGAGUUGGUGGAUCUUCCAAGUGACAAGGAAGUCAUUGGAGUCAAAUGGGUGUUCAAGACAAAGCUGAAUCCUGAUGGUUCGAUCCAGAAGCAUAAGGCAAGACUUGUCGCAAAAGGAUAUGCUCAAGUACCAGGAGUCGACUACACAGAAACGUUUGCUCCAGUGGCACGGAUGGACACAAUUCGAGCACUCAUAGCUCUGGCGGCUCAAAAGAGAUGGAAAAUCUAUCAACUUGAUGUUAAGUCGGCAUUUCUCAAUGGAGAUCUAACAGAUAAGAUAUAUGUGGAGCAGCCAGAAGGAUUCACAAAGCAAGAAGGCAAAGUUCUUCGCCUCAAGAAAGCACUCUAUGGGCUCAAACAAGCGCCACGAGCCUGGUACAGCAAAAUAGACGGAUAUUUCACCGGUCAAGGAUUCAUGAGGAGCAAGAACGAGGCCACUCUAUACAUCAAAACUCUAGGAUUAAUGCACUAUUUUCUCGGAAUGGAGAUAAGUCAAGAGGAAGAAGGCAUCUUCCUAUCACAAAAGAAGUAUAUUGAAGAUAUGCUCAAGAAGUUCAAGAUGCAAGACUGUAAGCCAGUGGUUACACCUCUCAUUCCAAAUGAGAAGUUGAAGAAAGAAGAUGGGUCAAAACCGACGGAUUCUACAAACUAUCGAAGUUUGAUUGGGAGUCUACUAUAUUUGACGGCAACGAGGCCUGACAUCAAGUAUGCAACAAGCCUUCUAUCCAGAUUCAUGGAAAGUCCGAAGGAGACCCACUAUGGAGCAGCAAAGAGACUUCUCAGAUACCUGCAAGGUACGCUCAACUAUGGUAUCUGGUACAAACCAAAGUCUGACUCACAGAUCAGUGGAUAUAGCGAUAGUGAUUGGGCUGGAUCUCAAGAUGACAUGAAAAGCACCUCAGGCUAUGCUUUCAAGCUUGGCUCAGGAAUUUUUUCUUGGGGAUCAAAGAAGCAAGACUCAGUUGCACUAUCAACAGCAGAAGCUGAGUAUGUUGCAGCAGCCGAAGCAGCAUGUCAAGCUAUAUGGCUUAGAAGAAUACUAGCGGAUAUGGGCGAACCGCAAGACUCAUCGACAGAGAUCUACUGCGAUAACAAGUCAGCUAUAGCAAUGGCUAAGAAUCCAGUUCAGCACAAUCGCACCAAGCACAUCGACAUCAAGUAUCACUUCUUGAGAGAUGUUGAAGCAAAGAAACUUAUCGAGAUGAAGUAUUGUCCAACAGAAGAGCAGUUGGCGGACAUCUUCACAAAAGCACUACCAAGGGACAGAUUCCAGUUUCUACGAAGAAUGCUUGGAGUAACCGAUAAAUGCAUCAAGGAGGAGUAUUGAAGUGUGAUGCAUUUAUCUAGAAUAUUCUAGGUGAGAAUAAGCUAUGAAUAUUCUAGAGAAUUCACCACUAGCUAGAUUAAUCUAGAUUAUUCUAAAUAAUACUAGGACAAGUAUGAGUAAUCUAGAGAUUAGAUAUUUUCUAUAUAGUAUCUAGAGAAUUCCUUAAGUGGAUGCUAGUAGAGAAUUCUAGAUACAAGUUAGUGUAGUGGGAUCUAGAGAGAUCUUCCCACACCUAUAAAUAGAGCUCUUGUGAGCCAUUUGUAACCAAUCUCAACAAUCUCAAACAUCUUAAAAACAUCACUCUAUCUAAUAAUAUCUAAGUUCUUUGGAGACAAGAGCUCCACUCUAAAAUCAUUAUCUCUAUCUUCUACACACACUACACUCACAAUAUUCUCUACACCACUUCACUACAAUCACUCACCAC